rnacentral:rRNA from 1 species
GACGAAGGGGGCUAGCGUUGUUCGGAAUUACUGGGCGUAAAGCGCGUGUAGGCGGUUGUCCAAGUCGGGUGUGAAAGCCUUGAGCUCAACUCAAGAAAUGCACUCGAUACUGGGUGACUUGAGGACCGGAGAGGAUAGUGGAAUUCCCAGUGUAGUGGUGAAAUACGUAGAGAUUGGGAAGAACACCAGUGGCGAAGGCGGCUAUCUGGACGGUUUCUGACGCUGAGACGCGAAAGCGUGGGGAGCAAACAGG